rnacentral:rRNA from 1 species
AGUGAACGCUGGCGGUAGGCCUAACACAUGCAAGUCGAACGGCAGCACAGUAAGAGCUUGCUCUUACGGGUGGCGAGUGGCGGACGGGUGAGGAAUACAUCGGAAUCUACUUUUUCGUGGGGGAUAACGUAGGGAAACUUACGCUAAUACCGCAUACGACCUACGGGUGAAAGCAGGGGAACUUCGGACCUUGCGCGAUUGAAUGAGCCGCUGUCGGAUUAGCUAGUUGGCGGGGUAAAGGCCCACCAAGGCGACGAUCCGUAGCUGGUCUGAGAGGAUGAUCAGCCACACUGGAACUGAGACACGGUCCAGACUCCUACGGGAGGCAGCAGUGGGGAAUAUUGGACAAUGGGCGCAAGCCUGAUCCAGCCAUACCGCGUGGGUGAAGAAGGCCUUCGGUUUGUAAAGCCCUUUUGUUGGGAAAGAAAAGCAGCAGGUUAAUACCCCGCUGUUCUGACGGUACCCAAAGAAUAAGCACCGGCUAACUUCGUG